UCAUUUUACCGAAUUCAUUAGAUUCCUUGGAAUGGACUUCAACUUUCUCCUGAAUCUUGAUGGUCUUCAUUGCCAUGUAGAUUCUGAAUUCUAUGUCUGUGAUUUCAGCCAUUUCAUUCUGGUUAAGAAGCAUUGCUGGGAGUCAAUGUGGUCAUUUGGAGAUAAGGAGACACUUUAGCUUUUAGGGUUGCCAGUGUUCUUGCACUGGUUAUUUCUCAUCUGUGCUGGCUAAUGUUCCUUUAAUUCUGGUGUAAUUUGAGUAUAAUCAGUUGGCUUCAUUUGUGGAUGUUUUCAGAGGGGCGAUGCUUUGUACAUGAUCUUUAUUUGUGGCUGAAUUUUUCUCCUUGUCUUCACAGGAGGGUAUAUUAGCAAAGUAUUUUUGGUGUUGAAGCUUGGGCCGCAACCCAGUAGAUGGCGCGGAAGGAUAAUGGCUUGUAGUUGGGCUCUUAGCCACAUGGCUCCUCAGCGUUUUCUUGUGUUUCCACUCAUGUUCUCUCUCUUUGCCCUGAGAAUGUGAGCUCCUCUCAUACUCAAGUGCUGGCCACAGAUCUCAGCCUGGCACUCCUAGGCUGCACACUGAAGCCCUGGGGCUAACUCAGGCUUAUUGUUCCCUUCAAGCUUGGGGAAAGCCAGGGCAAGGACCUUGGCAGUGACCAUGGCAGAGGGCUUCUUACUUGUCCCUUGAGACCCCCACCCUAUAGAAAUGAGGAGCCACUGCCAAUCAGAAAAAUUAUCUUGGUGUAGGGUGGCUGCAUUAUGGGCCCAAGCCAGGGGCCCUGCCUGGUGAUUAGCAGUGGGGGCAGGGAGCUCACAGGGAAGACAGUUUGGUCUCUUCUCCAUAGGGUGUCUGUGGCAUGCUGGAGAUGUGAGUAAAGUUCUGAGGCUUUUUGUUUCUUCCCCCACCAGGUGGCAGCAAUGGCUGAUACCACUGCAUUGACAGUGGCAGAUGGGCUGUCAUUUGCCUCUGUGAACUCCAAACCAGAGAGACACAAAGCCACUGCCAAUGGAUUUUUCAUCUGUGAACUUGGACAGUCAUACAAACUUCAUCCGGUUGUUGAAAAGAUUAAAUGAGAUAAUGCAAGGGCAGAGCAAGAUAGCAGAAUAGAAGCCUACACCAUUUGUACUCCCUGAAGGGGAGAGAAAAGCGCCAUCACAAUAUCUAAAAAUCAGGUGAUGAGAAUUCAGCAGUGAAAAAAGGCAGUGGCUUCUGACCCCUAAAAAGAAGACACAUAAAUGGCUGACCACCACAUAUCACAGUAUGAGAUGUUUCUCUUGAAGGGAGGAGAGUUUGUGGCACUAAGAGGUACUGUCUCCCUUAUGAUCAUCAGUAAACU